UCUUUGGCUUGCUUUCCAUCACGCGAAGAAAAAAAAAUCUAUUUAAUUGUCACAAUGACACUUAUUCUUAAAUACAUUCAAUGAUAUAUUUUUAUAUUUUAUUUAAAUGGAAAAAUAGCUAAAAUGGAAAUAACUAACAGCAAAACAUCACAGAAACAUGGUUCUGGGGAUGACCAAAAUAAACAAAGCGAUGAACAACCAACCACUUCCCGGGAGGAUGACUUCACUCCCGAACAAAAUUCACACAACAUGAAUGAUUUCAAUGCCUUAGACUUCAAUUCCGCCGAUGAAAUCAGACAAACAAUGAAAGCAGUUUUAACCGGAAAAUUGCCACCGCAGUCCUUUAGCGAAGAGGCCAAUCAUUUUCAAGCAGUAAAAAGAAACCCAGAGCCAAACGUCAAAAUUAACGAAAACAAUAGUACUGCUGAUGGACACAAGACCGUUCAGCGUCAGGUACAGCAGAAUUUGUACCAAAAAAUGAAGUCUACAGCUCGGGCCUGGACGUACAAGGCACAACGCUUUGGAACGUCCCGGCUCAAGAAAACUGGGCGGCCACCGACUGCGGGUCCAUCUAAAACAAUCCGCAAGCCCAAGCUUUCGUCUAUGUAUUUAGGAAAAUUGGCUAAUGUUGUCCCCUUCACACGCCGACGGCACGGAUCCAGCGAGUCUGAUGUAGAAUCUGUAGUUAUAUUUUAUUAAACGUUUUGGACUUCAA